CACCCAUCAUUGUGUCGGAUAUUUCGUGUUGCAGCCAUUUCUUGAUCGGACGAAGAAUGAGGCUUUGUCCGACGUUGUCUCUUUUCGCCAGAUCCCUCGAUAGUCUAGGCACUAGACUGUGUGAAAAUGAGAGGUCUCUUUUUAAGUACACCGGCCGGAGUCCAAAUUUGGGCUCUAUAAGCCGAGAUAAAGAGAUGUAUUCACUCGGAAUGAACUCCGAGAUGCAACGGAAACCCACAGUUGGUUAAAAAAUGGUAGGUAAAGAAGCUGAAAUAGAAGUCCUAAACAACAGCUGCUAACGGGAGUUACAUCCCACGAAAUUACGUUUAAAUGGCUUACGUGGGUUAUUGCGAGAUGCCUAUUAUUCAAAUGAAAGCAAUAACCCGGAUGUUUCCGGAACACCGUAAGAGAUGAGAGGUUCAUUAAGACGUCUAAUGAUUUUGCGAUGUAAAGAGCUGGAAAAGAAAGAAGAUGCCAUCUACUGCUGUAGUCUACUUCAUGCCAGAUAAAUGAAGUAGUAAUCCUUUUUCUGUCUGAUGUCGUGACGGUCGGUCAGUAAUGAAGAAAUAAAUGGAAUCCACCGCGACGAGCAACUCGGCGUGGUGGAUUAAAGAUAACUCUUCUAUUCAAGAAAGAGAUGCCAUAAAUUUGUGCGUUUUUUUUUUUUUUUUUUUAAGGAAAAAUGCUGCUAUAUACAAACGAAAUAUUUUUCAUAUCAACUAUUCAUACGUACCCUCUCGACGGACCUCUAAAUUUCCUUCUAACUAUUUUACGCUUUCUUCUCCAAAACCCGUUUCUUGACGAGCAAUUCAGCAAGUAAAUUAAAGGUAACUCUUUUCAAGAGAGA